rnacentral:lncRNA from 12 species
GAGCACUGAGAAGGAGGAGGGAGACAGAAACUAUCCUUCCAGGUUUCACAGAAAAGAGGGCUGAAGGUGAUAUACAAGCUGGGAUGGAGAAAAUUGUGAAAAGGACCUGAAAGUGUUGAUAAGAAAAUAAGAGAAAGAAGUCUUCAAAAAGGGAAGUGAUCUAGAAUUUUCCCAGCAUACUGCUAAAUGCAUUGUGAAACUACAGACUUGGUUUGUUUGCAAUUCACAAAUAGGAGCCUGAAUAGAAGCCAUCUUCCAGAUGACAGCCAGAGGAGAGACUUGUAAUUUGGCAUUAGCAUCAAUGGAGAUAUUCUGCGAUUUAUGGUUUUGGCAAGUAGAGGCCAAGGAAAAAUUGAGAUAUUUCAGUUUUGGAUACAUAGAUUUUUCGGCAAGUUCUCCCACAGCCUGAAACCUGAUCAAAUGCAACGUGGUUGGACUGGUGCCUUGUCAUGCUCUUGGAAUUCCCUCUCGUCCUGCUCCAUAGAAGGCUGCUUUCAGCUAUCCAAUGAUCCUACUGCCAGAGGGAGCAGAAAGAGAGCCAGCAUUAUGGAUGUACUGCAGAGUUUCUUUUCUGUGAUGAUGAAGCUGUUGAGUUAGGAGCCAACCUUCUGCUUCUAGGUUUUAAUUCAUCUUGGCCUACUGUUCAGGUUCAAUGGUUCUCAGAACCUGGUUGCACCAAUUAGACCAGAAUCUCGGGAUCCCUGGGUGGCGCAGCGGUUUGUCACCUGCCUUUGGCCCAGGGCGCAAUCCUGGAGACCCGAGAUCGAAUCCCACGUCGGGCUCCCGGUGCAUGGAGCCUGCUUCUCCCUCUGCCUAUGUCUCUGCCUCUCUCUCUCUCUCUCUGUGACUAUCAUAAAUAAAUAAAUUAAUUAAUUAAAAAAAGAAAAAAAC